rnacentral:rRNA from 1 species
GAGUGGACUCCUACGUGAGGCAGCAGUAGGGAAUCUUCGGCAAUGGGGGGAACCCUGACCGAGCAACGCCGCGUGAGUGAAGAAGGUUUUCGGAUCGUAAAGCUCUGUUGUAAGAGAAGAACGGGUGUGAGAGUGGAAAGUUCACACUGUGACGGUAUCUUACCAGAAAGGGACGGCUAACUACGUGCCAGCAGCCGCGGUAAUACGUAGGUUCCGAGCGUUUUCCGGAUUUAUUGGGCGUAAAGCGAGCGCAGGCGGUUAGAUAAGUCUGAAGUUAAAGGCUGUGGCUUAACCAUAGUAUGCUUUGGAAACUGUUUAACUUGAGUGCAGAAGUGGAGAGUGGAAUUCCAUGUGUAGCGGUGAAAUGCGUAGAGAUAUGGAGGAACACCGGUGGCGAAAGCGGCUCUCUGGUCUGUAACUGACGCUGAGGCUCGAAAGCGUGGGGGGCAAACAGGAUUAGAAACCCCGGUAGUCCGA